rnacentral:rRNA from 1 species
AAGGCUUGACAUGGGGAAGACUGGACGAGAGAUCGUCCUUCUCUAGCAAUAGAGCUUCCCACACAGGUGCUGCAUGGCUGUCGUCAGCUCGUGUCGUGAGAUGUUGGGUUAAGUCCCGCAACGAGCGCAACCCCCGUUUCUAGUUGCCAUCAUUCAGUUGGGCCCUCUAGAGAGACUGCCGCGAAUAACGCGGAGGAAGGUGGGGACGACGUCAAGUCAUCAUGGCCCUUACG